UACGGAGGGUGCGAGCGUUGUCCGGAAUCACUGGGCGUAAAGGGUGCGUAGGUGGCUAGGUAAGUCGGAUGUGAAAUCCCGGGGCUCAACCCCGGAACUGCAUUCGAUACUGCCUGGCUAGAGUACUGGAGAGGAGAUUGGAAUUUACGGUGUAGCAGUGAAAUGCGUAGAUAUCGUAAGGAAGACCAGUGGCGAAGGCGGAUCUCUGGACAGUUACUGACACUGAGGCACGAAGGCCAGGGGAGCAAACGGG
rnacentral:rRNA from 1 species